AGCAGCCGCGGUAAUACGGAGGGUGCAAGCGUUACUCGGAAUCACUGGGCGUAAAGGACGCGUAGGCGGGUUGGAAAGUCUGAUGUGAAAUCCUACAGCUUAACUGUAGAACUGCAUUGGAAACUUUCAACCUAGAGUAUGGGAGGGGGAGAUGGAAUUAGUGGUGUAGGGGUAAAAUCCGUAGAUAUCACUAGGAAUACCCAAAGCGAAGGCGAUCUCCUGGAACAUAACUGACGCUAAGGCGUGAAAGCGUGGGGAGCAAACGGGAUUAGAUACCCCGGUAGUCCACGCCCUAAACGAUGAACACUAGUCGUCGGGAUGCUUGUCAUCUCGGUGAUGCACUUAACAGAUUAAGUGUUCCGCCUGGGGAGUACGGUCGCAAGAUUAAAACUCAAAGGAAUAGACGGGGACCCGCACAAGUGGUGGAGCAUGUGGUUUAAUUCGAAGAUACGCGAAGAACCUUACCUAGCCUUGACAUUGAAGAAACAGACCAGAGAUGGACUGUUGCCCUUCGGGGAAUCUGAAAACAGGUGCUGCACGGCUGUCGUCAGCUCGUGUCGUGAGAUGUUGGGUUAAGUCCCGCAACGAGCGCAACCCUCGUCUUUAGUUGCCAGCAGGUUAAGCUGGGCACUCUAAAGAGACUGCCUUCGCAAGGAGGAGGAAGGUGAGGACGACGUCAAGUCAUCAUGGCCCUUACGGCUAGGGCUACACACGUGCUACAAUGGGGCGUACAGAGUGUUGCGAUACCGCGAGGUGGAGCUAAUCACUUAAAGCGUCUCUCAGUUCGGAUUGGAGUCUGCAACUCGACUCCAUGAAGCUGGAAUCACUAGUAAUCGUAGAUCAGCAAUGCUACGGUGAAUACGUUCCCGGGUCUUGUACACACCGCCCGU
rnacentral:rRNA from 1 species